GAUGAAGAACGUAGCGAAAUGCGAUAAGUAAUGUGAAUUGCAGAAUUCAGUGAAUCAUCGAAUCUUUGAACGCACAUUGCGCCCCCUGGUAUUCCGGGGGGCAUGCCUGUCCGAGCGUCAUUACUGCCCUCAAGCGCGGCUUGUGUGUUGGGCCUUCGCCCCCCCCGGGGGCGUGCCCGAAAGGCAGUGGCGGCGCCGUGCCCGGUCCUCGAGCGUAUGGGGCUUUGUCACCCGCUCUGGAGGCCCGGCCGGCCGCCGCCGACCCGCCCAGACCUUUAACCGGUUGACCUCGGAUCAGGCAGGGAUACCCACUGAACUUAAGCAUAUCAAUAAGCGGAGGA
rnacentral:misc_RNA from 1 species